AUACGUAGGUGGCAAGCGUUGUCCGGAUUUACUGGGUGUAAAGGGCGCGUAGGCGGGCAGGCAAGUCAGAUGUGAAAUCUCCGGGCUCAACCCGGAAAUUGCAUUUGAAACUGCAGGUCUUGAGUAUCGGAGAGGCAAGCGGAAUUCCUAGUGUAGCGGUGAAAUGCGUAGAUAUUAGGAGGAACACCAGUGGCGAAGGCGGCUUGCUGGACGACAACUGACGCUGAGGCGCGAAAGCGUGGGGAGCAAACAGGAUUAGAUACCCUAGUAGUCCACGCCCUAAACUAUGAAUACUAGGUGUGGGGGGACUGACCCCCUCCGUGCCGGAGUAAACACAAUAAGUAUUCCACCUGGGGAGUACGACCGCAAGGUUGAAACUCAAAGGAAUUGACGGGG
rnacentral:rRNA from 1 species